rnacentral:rRNA from 1 species
GACGAACGCUGGCGGCGUGCUUAACACAUGCAAGUCGAGCGGUAAGGCCCUUUCGGGGGUACGACGAGCGGCGAACGGGUGAGUAACACGUGGGUGACCUGCCCUCAGCUCUGGGAUAAGCCUGGGAAACCGGGGUCUAAUACCGGAUAUGACUCCAUGACGCAUGUUGUGGGGUGGAAAGCCUUGUGCGGCUGAGGAUGGGCCCGCGGCCUAUCAGCUUGUUGGUGGGGUGAUGGCCUACCAAGGCGACGACGGGUAGCCGGCCUGAGAGGGCGACCGGCCACACUGGGACUGAGACACGGCCCAGACUCCUACGGGAGGCAGCAGUGGGGAAUCUUGCGCAAUGGGCGAAAGCCUGACGCAGCGACGCCGCGUGAGGGAUGACGGCCU